AGUUAAUUUUUUUUCUUUUUUUUUCAAUUAUACUUCUGGUUCUGGGAUACAUGUGCAGAGCAUGCAGGUUUGUUACAUAGGUAUACAUGUGCCAUGGUGGUUUGCUGCACCCAUCAAACCGUCAUCUACAUUUCUCCUAAUGCUAUCCCUCCCCUGGCACCCCUGACAGGCCCCGGUGUGUGAUAUUCCCCUCCCUGUGUCCAUGUGUUCUCACUGUUCAAAUCCCACUUAUGAGUGAGAACAUGUGGUGUUUGGUUUUCUGUUUCUGUGUUAGUUUGCUGAGAAUGAUGGUUUCCAGCUUCAUCCAUGUCCUUGCAAAGGACAUGAACUCAUCCUUUUUUAUGGCUGCAUAGUAUUUUAUGGUGUAUAUAAGCCACAUUUUCUUUAUCCAGUCUAUCAUUGACGGAUAUUUGGGUUGGUUCCAAGUCUUUGCUAUUGUGAAUAGUGCCGCAAUAAACAUACGUGUGCAUGUGUCUUUAUAGUAGAGUGAUAUAUCAUCCUUUGGUUAUAUGUCCAGUAAUGGGAUUGCUGGGUCAAAUGGUAUUUCUAGUUCUAGAUCCUUGAGGAAUCACCACACUGUCUUCCACAAUGGUUGAACUAAUUUACACUCCUACCAACAGUGUAAAAGCGUUCCUAUUUCUCCACAUCCUCUCCAGCAUCUGUUGUUUCCUGACUUUUUAAUGACUGCCAUUCUAACUGGUGUGAGAUGGUAUCUCAUUGUGGUUUUGAUUUGCAUUUCUCUAAUGACCAGUGAUGAUGAGCUUUUUUUUCAUGUUUGUUGGCUGCAUAAAUGUCUUCUUUUAAGAAGAGUC